UUGCCUAGUGACUGACUACUCAAUAAAUAUGUGCUGCAGAAAUAACUGGAUGGAGGAAAAUUUCAUGGAUGGGGGUGCUUAUCUACAGCUCCCUUUCUGCUCCUCCCUGACCCCAGAGUCUGCAGUGGGGGGCAUGGCCAUGUAGCCCAAAACGGUGAAGGAGAAGGGUUUCAGCUUCCUGUGCAAGAAAGGCCCAGCUGUGCUAAGGUUGACGUCAGGACCAGAGAACGCCCUGCUUGGCCUCCCCAUCUCCAACCUGCCCACAAAUGGAGAUUUGUCUGAGAUGACAAUAUGGCUAACAUUCGGACAGCACUUCCAACCGGUUCUUAAAACGGCCGGGGGAUGGUUAGCAGAUGAGAAAACUGAAGAGAGAGUGAUGUAACUAGAAGAAACUAACACUCCGUGGCCAUCAUAUAAAAGAAGUAACCCUGGGGGGCUCUGCCUUCCACCUAUGUCCCCGACAGUCUGGGUGUAAGCGGAGUGGUGAGUGGACAGAGAAAGGGCACUGGAGACAGUCAGGCUGGUCUUGGAGAACCAGCGUUGCCCCUUCUCAGCUGUAUGACUACAGAAAUCUACUUGACCUCUCCGAGCCUCGCCUUCUUUCUGUGUCUUCAAAGUUGUAUGGCAUUUUUCCUACCUUGCAGGACUGCUGUGAAGACUUCAAGGGAUAAUGUAUGCAAAGUGCUUAGCGCACUGCUGACACAUGGUAGACACACACACAUGCUGUUAUACUAAUAAUAAAAAGUAAUAGGCAGGUGGCCA